rnacentral:rRNA from 1 species
GACGAACGCUGGCGGCGUGCCUAACACAUGCAAGUCGAGCGGAGCCAUCCAGACAAUCCCUUCGGGGUGCGUCUGGGGAAGCUUAGCGGCGGACGGGUGAGUAACGCGUGAGUAACCUGCCCAUUAGUGGGGAAUAACACAGAGAAAUUUGUGCUAAUACCGCAUACGGAAUAGUCAAGGCAUCUUGACAGUUUAAAAGAUUUAUCGCUAAUGGAUGGACUCGCGUCUGAUUAGAUAGUUGGUGAGGUAACGGCUCACCAAGUCGACGAUCAGUAGCCGAACUGAGAGGUUGACCGGCCACAUUGGGACUGAGAUACGGCCCAGACUCCUACGGGAGGCAGCAGUGGGGAAUAUUGGGCAAUGGACGCAAGUCUGACCCAGCAACGCCGCGUGAAGGAAGAAGGCUUUCGGGUUGUAAACUUCUUUAAGGGGUAAGAGUAGAAGACGGUACCCCUACGAAUAAGCCACGGCUAACUACGUG